rnacentral:rRNA from 1 species
AACGAACGCUGGCGGCGCGCCUAAUACAUGCAAGUCGAACGAUGUAGCAAUACAUAGUGGCGCACGGGAGAGUAACACGUGGAUAAUCUCCCCUCGAGAGAGGAAUAACUAGUCGAAAGAUUGGCUAAUACUUCAUAAGACCACAGAAACUAAUGUUUCAGGGGUAAAAGUCGUAAGACGCUUGAGGAUGAGUCUGCGUCCCAUUAGCUAGUUGGUGAGGUAACGGCUCACCAAGGCGACGAUGGGUAGCUGGUCUGAGAGGAUGAUCAGCCUCACUGGAACUGACACACGGUCCAGACUCCUACGGGAGGCAGCAGUAGGGAAUAUUGCACAAUGGGCGAAAGCCUGAUGCAGCGACGCCGCGUGAGUGAUGAAGGACUUCGGUUUGUAAAGCUCUGUUGUCAGGGAAUAAAAAAAAUGAAUGUACCUGACGAGAAAGGACCGGCUAACUUACGUGCCAGCAG